CCUACGGGUGGCAGCAGUGGGGAAUAUUGGACAAUGGGCGAAAGCCUGAUCCAGCCAUGCCGCGUGUGUGAAGAAGGCCUUCGGGUUGUAAAGCACUUUCAGUGGGGAAGAAAGCCUUGGGGCUAAUACCCUCGAGGAAGGACAUCACCCACAGAAGAAGCACCGGCUAACUCCGUGCCAGCAGCCGCGGUAAUACGGAGGGUGCGAGCGUUAAUCGGAAUUACUGGGCGUAAAGCGCGCGUAGGCGGUCUGAUAAGCCAGUUGUGAAAGCCCCGGGCUCAACCUGGGAACGGCAUCCGGAACGGUCAGGCUAGAGUGCAGGAGAGGAAGGUAGAAUUCCCGGUGUAGCGGUGAAAUGCGUAGAGAUCGGGAGGAAUACCAGUGGCGAAGGCGGCCUUCUGGACUGACACUGACGCUGAGGUGCGAAAGCGUGGGUAGCAAACAGGAUUAGAUACCCGAGUAGUC
rnacentral:rRNA from 1 species